GAAGGAGAAGUCGUAACAAGGUUACCGUAGGUGAACCUGCGGUAGGAUCAUUG
rnacentral:rRNA from 1 species